rnacentral:miRNA from 1 species
GUGUUCACUGUUUGCCUUCAUG